GGUAAUCAUGAGGAAUUUGUUCCAUGCAUAUUAAUAACACUUAAUUACUUUGAGAUUGAUGGUAAUUUACUUAUUUAUUAUUAUCUUCUUAACAAUAAAGUUUGUAAUAGUUUCUAGCAAUGGAAGACACUAUAUUUGUCGUGAGCCACAUGGAGAAUGUGCUGCCAAGACCGCACAUGCGCAUUGCUUUUUCAACACAGUGAAGCUCAAGCAUGAACCCUUCAACCCCGCCACCGUCACCGUGCGGCGUGCACGUCACACCCAGUCUCUGUCAGUUCAGCCAUCGCCAUGCCGUACGUCUCUCAAACCGUGUUGCGAACCUGUGUGACCUAAGGCGCUGUGCAGCUGUAUCCACUUAAGUGACGAUGACGAGCUAGAGGAGUGCUUCUGGAACAGCUAAAGGAAGAAAGAUAGUCGAUGAGGACAGACAUUAGAUUUGUGUCCGCCGCCAUCACCACCACCAGUCCACUACCACCGCCGCCAUUACUUGGUCGCCGAUCUUCACGUGCAGGUCACUGUGAGCCUUGAACUAGAUCAAUGUGCCUAACUGAAUUGGAUUGGCUGUUAGUGAAAUGCACCACAAAUAGAAUGAGAUAAGAAGGGAAGAACAACAUCUUCGGAUCACUUGUUCUCUUGUGAAGAGACUGCCCUCACACAAGGAAUCUACAUUUUCAUGGAUGGUGAAGAGCACAGGAUCACCAGAUACCUGCUGUCCUGCCACCAAGAUUCUCCCUUGACACCACACCACCUCACGUCAUCUGUCCCAUCACCUCACUGACACCAGUGGCAGGAGAAACCCUGCCUAUCUGAUGACCUGGCUUGUUCUACACAGUCCUGCCCUGUCCCCAGUGUGAUGAAUGGGUCGGAAUGAUGUGGCAAGGAAAUGUAUGGGCACUGUCUGCGGAUUCACCAUGCAGUCUCCUGAGUAUUCCGACCAUUGGAGUUUCACAAGAGUUGCUUUCAUUGGCCUAAGAAACUGGACUGAUCAACAGCUUUAGGUGGUGGACCAAUUGGACCAGCAGCCACCUGACAGUCUAGGAUGCCUCUGCCCUCCCUAGCUCACUGCUGAGGAGGAUGAAGUAAGUGGCCUGCCUGCCUUAGAGAAACUGUGGUCUGGAUUCAACAGCUUGUGCACCAAGGGACCAGCAUCCCUAAUGUACAUACUACUACUGCCCUAAUAUGCACUAUAAGUAUUAAGGAAGGAUAGGUAUAAAAAUUACCCUUAAAUCCUGUAAAAUAGGCUCUAGCAAGUCAAAAAUUCUCUGGAGACUUUAGCAGCAGUGCUAGAGUAGAAAUAAUUUUGAGUUGAUAAAAUGAAGAUAAAAUGAAAAGUAUGCUUCCCAAAACCUUUAUUUAAUAGAUCUCCAUAAAGUCUUAAAUAUUUUGACUUGACAAACUAUUCUGAUGUUUACAGUUUUUUUUUGUGUAUACAGUCUUUUCAGCCUGCUUUUCUUGUAGACCAUAGUUUUUUUUAUUAAAAAAAAAGGCCUACUUUCAGUAGUAGUAUGUGAACCACUUUCUUUAUCAUCUUUCUUCAGUAGGUUAGGUGGAGGGCACCUGGCCAGGAUAGAUAGAGGCUGUUCUGAUUGGAAACACCACUGACUUCAGCCUUAAGGUUUCCUGCUCCUUUAGUUGUAGCCACAACAAAGGUAUAUAUAUAUAUAUAUGGUGCCUCUUCUGUGGACUCUUGAAGGUUAUUCAUUCUAGUACGGUGUAGUCUUUUUACAGGUCCUUGCAAGCUGGAAAAUGGAAGUCCUUGCAAGCUGGAAAAUGGAAAUCCGUUAUAAUCCAGUACCUUAAAGGAAAUUCUUAAUGAGUAAUAAUUGUCAUGCAUGACCAAAUCAAAGCAAGUGAUGCAUUACUGAUGUAUUUACUAUAUCAGUAGUUAUAUCAAUAAAUAGUAUAUAAUUUUAAGCUUCAGCACCAGGUAAAUUUUUUACUUUUGUU
rnacentral:lncRNA from 1 species